GGGAGCUUGCUCCCGGAUGUUAGCGGCGGACGGGUGAGUAACACGUGGGUAACCUGCCUGUAAGACUGGGAUAACUCCGGGAAACCGGAGCUAAUACCGGAUAGUUCCUUGAACCGCAUGGUUCAAGGAUGAAAGACGGUUUCGGCUGUCACUUACAGAUGGACCCGCGGCGCAUUAGCUAGUUGGUGAGGUAACGGCUCACCAAGGCGACGAUGCGUAGCCGACCUGAGAGGGUGAUCGGCCACACUGGGACUGAGACACGGCCCAGACUCCUACGGGAGGCAGCAGUAGGGAAUCUUCCGCAAUGGACGAAAGUCUGACGGAGCAACGCCGCGUGAGUGAUGAAGGUUUUCGGAUCGUAAAGCUCUGUUGUUAGGGAAGAACAAGUGCAAGAGUAACUGCUUGCACCUUGACGGUACCUAACCAGAAAGCCACGGCUAAAUACGUGCCAGCAGCCGCGGUAAUACGUAGGUGGCAAGCGUUGUCCGGAAUUAUUGGGCGUAAAGGGCUCGCAGGCGGUUUCUUUAAGUCUGAUGUGAAAGCCCCCGGCUCAACCGGGGAGGGUCAUUGGAAACUGGGAAACUUGAGUGCAGAAGAAGAGAGUGGAAUUCCACGUGUAGCGGUGAAAUGCGUAGAGAUGUGGAGGAACACCAGUGGCGAAGGCGACUCUCUGGUCUGUAACUGACGCUGAAGAGCGAAAGCGUGGGGAGCGAACAGGAUUAGAUACCCUGGUAGUCCACGCCGUAAACGAUGAGUGCUAAGUGUUAGGGGGUUUCCGCCCCUUAGUGCUGCAGCUAACGCAUUAAGCACUCCGCCUGGGGAGUACGGUCGCAAGACUGAAACUCAAAGGAAUUGACGGGGGCCCGCACAACCGGUGGAACAUGGGGUUUAAUUCGAACCAACGCGAAAAACCUUACCAGGUCUUGACAUCCUCUGACAACCCUAGAGAUAGGGCUUUCCCUUCGGGGACAGAGUGACAGGUGGUGCAUGGUUGUCGUCAGCUCGUGUCGUGAGAUGUUGGGUUAAGUCCCGCAACGAGCGCAACCCUUGAUCUUAGUUGCCAGCAUUCAGUUGGGCACUCUAAGGUGACUGCCGGUGACAAACCGGAGGAAGGUGGGGAUGACGUCAAAUCAUCAUGCCCCUUAUGACCUGGGCUACACACGUGCUACAAUGGACAGAACAAAGGGCUGCGAAACCGCAAGGUUUAGCCAAUCCCACAAAUCUGUUCUCAGUUCGGAUCGCAGUCUGCAACUCGACUGCGUGAAGCUGGAAUCGCUAGUAAUCGCGGAUCAGCAUGCCGCGGUGAAUACGUUCCCGGGCCUUGUACACACCGCCCGUCACACCACGAGAGUUUGCAACACCCGAAGUCGGUGAGGUAACCUUUAUGGAGACCAGC
rnacentral:rRNA from 1 species